CAAAGAAAAGCUGCCUUUUGCUCCCACGCAUUUGUUUUCAUUUCUAUGUGAAUCAAACUCCAUUAACUGACUAAACUCAUGCAAUUAAUCAACCAAGAUUCCGUUCACUGGAUGACAACUCGACUAAAUUCCACGUGACUGAGGAAAGCUCCUAGACCAUCUCCGCGAACUUCUGGGAGGGCACGACCAGCCCCCGGCCAAAGGGCGACGACCCAUUGCAGGGCGGGCGAACCAUCGAAGUCGUCCGCCAAAUCCAGGCUCGGGGGGGGAUUCGACAGCAAGUCUGGACGCAAAAACUUGCAAAAACGAGCGAAAUCUCUCCCGUCUGGUUGGCCAGCAGGAAAAAAGGGUCGCCCACCCCCCAUCCCUCUGUCUGCUGCCCCAACAGUGGGCGCCUCCUCCUCCUCCUCCCGCAGCCGCCCCGCUUUGCGCCAGAAGAGCCCCUCUCAGACGGGCGGGGGGCCGCGGGCGCCAGGCGACACGAAGCAGCGCCGGAGUGCAAGCCGGCAGGAAGGCCGCCCGCCAGCAACCCAAGAGGCAGGCGGAGGGCGGGGGGCUGCCUUGGUCCUCCUCGGCCAUGGCGGCCCCUCCCGCCAGAGGAGCAGCAGGAGCAGCAGCCCGUCCUCCGCCGGCCGCCGCCACGCCAACGCGCCACUGACUCGCUCUCGGUUACCUGGGCAAGCGCACGCCGGCGAGGCGAGGCGGCAGCGGCGACCCCAGCCAGCCAGCCAGCCACCUGCCCGCCAGGCAGCCAGAAGGAAGCCGCGCGAAGCGCCCCGUCCCGACGUGUCCAGCUGCGGGAGGAGGCGGGACUCGGGUCGGGGGCGGCAGCCAGGCAGCCCGCUGCGCGGAGGACGCGGCCCCCAAGGGGUGCAAGCGCCAGCCCCUCUCCGCGCUGGACUCGCCCUCCUCCGCCUCCUCCUCCGCCUCUCGCAGCGGCAGCAGCAUUUCCUGCCUCCUCCGGGAGCGCCCAGCAGCAGCAGCCGCAGCAGCAGCAGCAGCCCGAGGAGGCGGCAAGCGAGCCAGAAACGGCGGCGCCCUGAACUCGUUGGCAGCCGCCCGGGGGCCCCGCUGAGCUCCCGCGAGCUGCUGCUGAGGCGGCGGCGCAGGAGCCCCGGGCCCGUCCAAAGAGCCGCCGGGGCCAAGCAGCGGCAGCCGUGCUGGGGGAAGGGAGAGGCAGGCGAGGGAGAAGCACCCGGGCGGGAGCAGCACCGGCUUCGCCCCUCCCCAGACUUGGCGGCGGCCCCGGGGGGGGGGGGCCGCGGAGGGGCAAACCAGGCUUGGCCUGAUCCCCCCCGCGCAUCUGCUCACCCAGGCUUGGGACUGAGACUGUCUCGAUUGUUUCGAUCUUGUUUUAGAACAUUGUUCUAAGUUGUUGUGUUGCAAUUCUUGCUUGGGGUUUUAACUAAGGUUAUAAUGUUGUUUUUCUCUUCUUGUAAACCGCCCAGGGACGUAAGUUUUGGGUGGUAUAAAAAUAUGUGAAAUAAAAAUAAUAACAACUAAACAAAAAUAAUCAUAAUAACAGGAGGCCCCUGGGUCCUCUUACAGUUCCGUUUCUAGACACCAGGGCUCCCUGGCGCCUGGGACUUGUCGCGCCCCAUUCCCCCUGGUUUCAGUCUCCAGCUCUGGCUUAGUUCCCAACUGUCUGGCAGUGGGCCAGCCUCCUUCACUGGAGGCUUUCCAGGAGAGGUUGGUUGGAGCGCGGCCAGGGAUGUUCUCGACAUGUUCGGACAGCCCUGCACAAAGGAUCUGGCCAGCGGGGACGUCUUGCUGGCCCCCAGGGGGCUGCAUGGUACAAAUGAGAAGCAGCACCCAGCCAACAGGCAGACCUGAGCGCCCCCUCCCCAGGCCAAAGCAACAAACAGCCACAGCUCCAGGCUUGUGUGGGGCUUGGCUUCCUCCUCCCCUUCCUGCCGAUUCCAGCCCUGCUCCUCCCCUCAGCCAGAGCCUGGUGUGGGCAGCCCCACUGAGCCCCCCCCCCCCGAGUUUGCUUGGCCCCUCCUCCUCCUCUCUCUCUCUCUCUCCUUGCCUUUGCCACAGACAACUUCUGGGCCACCCAGAGACAUACAUUUGGGCAGGGUAUAAAUUAGAUAGAUAGAUAGAUAACUAUGCCAAGUGUCACACCAUCCCCCAGCUUGGGAAACGGUUCUCUCUCCCCCACCCUCACCUCCGACAUAUAGAAGCAAAAGUUCUCUCAUUCCUCAGCACCACCCAUCAAUCAAUCUUUAUUACAGCCAUAGACCAGCAUAAAGUAUAAGGGGUGGUUACACAGGGUAGAGGGACAUAAGGAUAAUAAAAGUAAGAAAAAUACACAAGAAGCAUAAGGGCAUCAUAAGCCAUAGAAGUCAUAAAAAGGCACAAAAGGCAUACAGAGACAUAAAAGGGAUGGGGGGCAUUUUUUAAAAGGUGAAAAAAGGUUAGAAGACAUAAAAAGACAAAAAUGCAUAAAAGCGAGAGUAAGAAAACUGAGUGUCAGGGAGCGUGGCGGCACCCCUCCUGGUGGCUGGCGUUCUUGGAACACGGCCGACCAACGGCAGCCCCACCCCUGCCUUGGGCAGCAAGGUUCUCUUCAGCAUCAACCAGGAGGCAAGCCUGUUCACUGAUCUUAUGAUACAGAAAUUAAAUGUCACAGCUCUCAUUUUAUCUGACUGACACCCAGAUUAAACUGCUCAUGAGUAGACCUAUUGGAAUUAAUGGGACAUGACUAACUUAAUUUCAAUGUGAGUGAUUUAAUCUGGAUGUAACCCACUGUCUUUAUGUCUUGAAUUAUAUAUAUUUUAGUAAUUGCUUUAAUAAUUAUGUUUGAUUUGUUUUAAUGCAAGAACAAAAUAUUAAAUAAAUAAAUAUUUCUACUUA